rnacentral:rRNA from 1 species
AACGAACGCUGGCGGCAUGCCUAACACAUGCAAGUCGAACGAGAUCUUCGGGUCUAGUGGCGCACGGGUGCGUAACGCGUGGGAAUCUGCCCUUUAGUUCGGAGUAACAGUUGGAAACGACUGCUAAUACCGGAUGAUGACGAAAGUCCAAAGAUUUAUCGCCAGAGGAUGAGCCCGCGUAGGAUUAGCUAGUUGGUGUGGUAAAGGCGCACCAAGGCGACGAUCCUUAGCUGGUCUGAGAGGAUGAUCAGCCACACUGGGACUGAGACACGGCCCAGACUCCUACGGGAGGCAGCAGUGGGGAAUAUUGGACAAUGGGCGAAAGCCUGAUCCAGCAAUGCCGCGUGAGUGAUGAAGGCCUUAGGGUUGUAAAGCUCUUUUACCCGGGAUGAUAAUGACAGUACCGGGAGAAUAAGCUCCGGCUAACUCCGUGCCAGCCGCCGCAGUAA